rnacentral:rRNA from 1 species
GAUGAACGCUGGCGGCGUGCCUAAUACAUGCAAGUCGAGCGAACAGACGAGGAGCUUGCUCCUCUGACGUUAGCGGCGGACGGGUGAGUAACACGUGGAUAACCUACCUAUAAGACUGGGAUAACUUCGGGAAACCGGAGCUAAUACCGGAUAAUAUAUUGAACCGCAUGGUUCAAUAGUGAAAGACGGUUUUGCUGUCACUUAUAGAUGGAUCCGCGCCGCAUUAGCUAGUUGGUAAGGUAACGGCUUACCAAGGCAACGAUGCGUAGCCGACCUGAGAGGGUGAUCGGCCACACUGGAACUGAGACACGGUCCAGACUCCUACGGGAGGCAGCAGUAGGGAAUCGUCCGCAAUGGGAAAGCCUGACGGAGCAACGCCGCGUGAGUGAUGAAGGUCUUCGGAUCGUAAAACUCUGUUAUUAGGGAAGAACAAAUGUGUAAGUAACUAUGCACGUCUUGACGGUACCUAAUCAGAAAGCCACGGCUAACUACGUG